GUUCGAUAUAAUGAAUUUACUUCUUGUUAAUUUUAUAACAAGAAGCCAUCUCCUUUGUGUUGUUUAUGAAAACAAUCAAUUUUUGCUCAAUUGUAUGAACAAUACCUAACCCAUAUUGUUGAUACUAAUAAGAAUUCAUUUUCCCGAAUGGACCAAGAUGACAUACUCACCUGAUGUUAUCUUGGUUUUU
rnacentral:sRNA from 1 species